GGGUUGUGAGGUUAAGCGACUAAGCGUACACGGUGGAUGCCCUGGCAGUCAGAGGCGAUGAAGGACGUGCUAAUCUGCGAUAAGCGUCGGUAAGGUGAUAUGAACCGUUAUAACCGGCGAUUUCCGAAUGGGGAAACCCAGUGUGAUUCGUCACACUAUCAUUAACUGAAUCCAUAGGUUAAUGAGGCGAACCGGGGGAACUGAAACAUCUAAGUACCCCGAGGAAAAGAAAUCAACCGAGAUUCCCCCAGUAGCGGCGAGCGAACGGGGAGCAGCCCAGAGCCUGAAUCAGUGUGUGUGUUAGUGGAAGCGUCUGGAAAGGCGUGCGAUACAGGGUGACAGCCCCGUACACAAAAAUGCACAUACUGUGAGCUCGAUGAGUAGGGCGGGACACGUGGUAUCCUGUCUGAAUAUGGGGGGACCAUCCUCCAAGGCUAAAUACUCCUGACUGACCGAUAGUGAACCAGUACCGUGAGGGAAAGGCGAAAAGAACCCCGGCGAGGGGAGUGAAAAAGAACCUGAAACCGUGUACGUACAAGCAGUGGGAGCACAGAGCAAUCUGUGUGACUGCGUACCUUUUGUAUAAUGGGUCAGCGACUUAUAUUCUGUAGCAAGGUUAACCGAAUAGGGGAGCCGAAGGGAAACCGAGUCUUAACUGGGCGUUAAGUUGCAGGGUAUAGACCCGAAACCCGGUGAUCUAGCCAUGGGCAGGUUGAAGGUUGGGUAACACUAACUGGAGGACCGAACCGACUAAUGUUGAAAAAUUAGCGGAUGACUUGUGGCUGGGGGUGAAAGGCCAAUCAAACCGGGAGAUAGCUGGUUCUCCCCGAAAGCUAUUUAGGUAGCGCCUCGUGAAUUCAUCUCCGGGGGUAGAGCACUGUUUCGGCAAGGGGGUCAUCCCGACUUACCAACCCGAUGCAAACUGCGAAUACCGGAGAAUGUUAUCACGGGAGACACACGGCGGGUGCUAACGUCCGUCGUGAAGAGGGAAACAACCCAGACCGCCAGCUAAGGUCCCAAAGUCAUGGUUAAGUGGGAAACGAUGUGGGAAGGCCCAGACAGCCAGGAUGUUGGCUUAGAAGCAGCCAUCAUUUAAAGAAAGCGUAAUAGCUCACUGGUCGAGUCGGCCUGCGCGGAAGAUGUAACGGGGCUAAACCAUGCACCGAAGCUGCGGCAGCGACGCUUAUGCGUUGUUGGGUAGGGGAGCGUUCUGUAAGCCUGCGAAGGUGUGCUGUGAGGCAUGCUGGAGGUAUCAGAAGUGCGAAUGCUGACAUAAGUAACGAUAAAGCGGGUGAA
rnacentral:rRNA from 1 species